rnacentral:rRNA from 1 species
UAGGGAAUCUUCGGCAAUGGACGGAAGUCUGACCGAGCAACGCCGCGUGAGUGAAGAAGGUUUUCGGAUCGUAAAGCUCUGUUGUUAGAGAAGAACGUUGGUAGGAGUGGAAAAUCUACCAAGUGACGGUAACUAACCAGAAAGGGACGGCUAACUACGUGCCAGCAGCCGCGGUAAUACGUAGGUCCCGAGCGUUGUCCGGAUUUAUUGGGCGUAAAGCGAGCGCAGGCGGUUCUUUAAGUCUGAAGUUAAAGGCAGUGGCUUAACCAUUGUACGCUUUGGAAACUGGAGGACUUGAGUGCAGAAGGGGGGAGUGGAAUUCCAUGUGUAGCGGUGAAAUGCGUAGAUAUAUGGAGGAACACCGGUGGCGAAAGCGGCUCUCUGGUCUGUACCUGACGCUGAGGCUCGAAAGCGUGGGGAGCAAACAGG